GUUUACUUGAAAAAAUAAGUAAUUUGACCUGCCCACUGAUGUUUUAAAGGGCCGCGGUAUCUGAACCGUGCUAAGGUAGCAUAAUCAAUAGUCUUUUAAUUGAAGUCUAGAAUGAAUGGUUUGACGAGAAAUUAACUGUUUCAAGCGUAUAAUUGAACUUUACUUUUGAGUGAAAAGGCUCAAAUAAAGUAGUGGGACGAUAAGACCCUAUGAAGCUUAUACAUCUUUGUUUUGCUGGGGCGGCAGGGAUAGAUAAUUAACUGUCCAUUAAUUAAAAAUAAUUUUGUUUAGUAAGUUGAUCUUCUAAUAGGGAUUAUAAAAUUAAAGUUACUCUAGGGAUAACAGCGUAAUUCUUUUUGAGAGUUCUUAUCGACAAAAGUAGUUGCGACCUCGAUGUUGAAUUAAAAUUUCUCCAAGGUGUAGCAGUUUUGGUAGUAGGUCUGUUCGACCUUUAAAAUUUUACAUGAUUUGAGUUCAGACCGGCGUGAGCCA
rnacentral:rRNA from 1 species